CUCCCAUCCGCGUGCCCUAACUUUCCCCCAAAUUUCCCCCAAUUUCUUCCUCAUAUCCGCGUGAAGUCCCGUCGGCUUUCUCCCAAUUCUGACCGUCUGAAGUCCCGUCGCCACCACCACCCCCCUCCUGCCCGUCCGUCGAAACCUUCUCCACCAACUCGUCGCCACCACCAACCCGUCGCCACCACCCCCGUCUUCUCCAAACCUCUCCAAUCAACCCGAAGCUUCAAAUCGUGGGCGUCGGUCGUCACCCCUCCCCUCCGCCGGAAAUCAAGGCCAAAGGAGAUGUCAUGGCUAUGGGCUGAAGCUUUGAGAAAAAAAGAAUGAAAAAUAAAAUGUGAGAUCUUAAACUUUGAUGGUGUGUAGGGUCUUUUUGUUUGUCUAUGCAUUUUCCAAGUGAAUUUUAGUACUUUUGAUUUUUCUAUUGAUAUUUUGUUUAUGGUUGCUAUUGAGUUGCUUUGAUUGAAGGAUAGAGGGAAGUGAUUAUUGAUAAUUAUAGGAAAGGCAGUAUUUGUUGAAGGAAUUCCUCCGUGAACUGGUUUCUUG